AUGUGACCUGUGGGUUUCCCUUUGUCAUCCUAUGCCUGGAGAUCAUGAUAAGGCAGGGACAGCAAAGGGAUGCUCAGCUGUCACCUCU
rnacentral:pre_miRNA from 1 species